rnacentral:rRNA from 1 species
GAGUUUGAUCCUGGCUCAGAACGAACGCUGGCGGCAGGCCUAACACAUGCAAGUCGAGCGCCCCCUUUCAGAUUUCAGAUGGCAGACGUCGGAUGUCAGAAGCGCUGUGCGGUAGUCCCGCGCGGUGGUUUUUCUGACGUCUGAUAUCUGAUGUCUGACAUCUGAUGGGGGAGCGGCGGACGGGUGAGUAACGCGUGGGAAUUUUCCUCAAGGUAGGGAACAACUCAGGGAAACUUGGGCUAAUACCCUAUGAUGCAGAGAUGCCAAAGAUUUAUCGCCUUGGGAUAAGCCCGCGUCAGAUUAGGUAGUUGGCGGGGUAACGGCCCACCAAGCCGAAGACGGGUAGCCGGUAUGAGAGUACGGCCGGCCACAUCGGGACUGAGACACUGCCCGGACUCCUACGGGAGGCUGCAGUAACGAAUAUUCCGCAAUGCACGAAAGUGUGACGGAGCAAUGCCGCGUGCAGGAUGAAGCAACUUCGUUGUGUAAACUGCUGUCAGGGGCGAGAAACCAUGAUCAGCCCCAGAGGAAGGACCGGCUAAACUCGUGCCAGCAGCCGCGGUAAUACGAGUGGUCCUAGCGUUAGUCGGAAUCACUGGGCUUAAAGGGUGCGUAGGCGGGCCUGUAAGUGCCUUGUGAAAUCCCAUGGCUCAACCAUGGAAUCGCAGGGCAUACUGCGGGUCUUGAGGAAUCUAGAGGCCGGCGGAACGAUAGGUGGAGCGGUGGAAUGCGUAGAUAUCUAUCGGAACGCCAAAGGUGAAGACAGCCGGCUGGGGAUUUCCUGACGCUGAGGCACGAAAGCGUGGGGAUCAAACAGGAUUAGAUACCCUGGUAGUCCACGCCCUAAACGAUGCACACUAGACCGAUGCGGCUCUGACGUCGUAUUGGUCGUAGAGAAAUUGAUAAGUGUGCCGCCUGGGGAGUACGGUCGCAAGGCUAAAACUCAAAGGAAUUGACGG